GCCGGUAUAGCUCAGGUGGUAGAGCACCUGUUUCGUAAAUAGGUUGUCGGCGGUUCGAACCCGUCUACCGGCACCA
rnacentral:tRNA from 1 species